GACGAACGCUGGCGGCGUGCCUAAUACAUGCAAGUAGAACGCUGACGAGAGGAGCUUGCUCUUCUUGGAUGAGUUGCGAACGGGUGAGUAACGCGUAGGUCACCUGCCUUGUUGCGGGGGAUAACUAUUGGAAACGAUAGCUAAUACCGCAUCACACUGGAUGACACAUGUCACUUGUUUGAAAGGGGCAUUUGCCCCACUACAAGAUGGACCUGCGUUUUAUUAGCUAGGAGGUGAGGUAAUGGCUCACCUAGGGGACGAUACAUAGCCGACCUGAGAGGGUGAUCGGGCAACCUGGGAAUGGGACACGGCCCAAGCUCCUACGGGGGGCAGCAGGAGGGAAACUUCGGCAAUUGGGGCAACCCUUACCGAGCAACGCCGCGUGAGGUAAGAAGGGUCUCGGGGCGGUAAGCUCCGUUGUAAGUGAAGAACGGGUGGGAGGGUGGAAAGUUCACACUGUGACGGUAGCUAACCAGAAAGAGACGGCUAACUACGUG
rnacentral:rRNA from 1 species